rnacentral:rRNA from 1 species
UUCUGAAAUGUUGACCUCGGA